GUAAGGUACAUCCUGCCCAGUGAAUCUUGGUUUAAACGGCCGCGGUAUCCUGACCGUGCAAAGGUAGCAUAAUCAUUCGCCUUUUAAUUGUAGGCUAGUAUGAACGGACACACGAGGGAACACUUGUCUCUUUUUUUCCUAAGAAAAUUGACCUUCAGGUGAAGAUGCCUGAAUAAAUUAAAAAGACAAAAAGACCCUAUUGAGUUUUAUUAACUUAUUAUAAAUCAAUAAAUAGAAAAUAUAAAGAUAAAUAUAAGCUAAUUUGGUUGGGGCGACUGAGGAGCAUAUAAACCCUCCUUCAUAAAAAAGACAUAUAAGUCCAAAAGAUCCAUAAUAAUGAUCACAAGAAUCACACUACCAUAGGGAUAACAGGCUAAUUUCUUCAAAGAGCCCAAAUUGACGAAGAAGAUUGGCACCUCGAUGUUGGCUUAGGACAUCCCUCAGGCGCAGCAACUUGAAAGGGUUGGUUUGUUCAACCAUUAAA
rnacentral:rRNA from 1 species